AUAUCGGUUGUUGCGCCUUCAUGUUAUGAUGUUAUAUUUUCUUACGCCCUAGAUAUCCAUCCCGUUCAUACAAGGGGGUGCUAAGUGUCCUAUAAGGGAAAUCGACUGUUGCCUCCUUAUAUGGUUUUGGGUAUUCCUCAUCUCAUGAGCUGAUUUUUGAGGUUAAGUCGGGCCCGAGGUCCACUUUCUUAACCACAUCUGUCUUACUUUCAGUAGAGACACCUCGUUUUCCUCUUGUAUCUUCCACCGCCAAUUCAUUGGGACUUUUCUUGUUUGUCUGUGGACCCUCUACCUACCGUAUGUCUAGUUACCUAACCGUAGAACAUAGUGGCUGCACCUAUUAUGGAAAGGUAGCCCGUAAAAUGAUCUCCACAAAUUCCAGACUAGUCGGAUAAUGUAUCGAUGAGGUGAACAGUAGACAUUUGACAUACAUUUAGGACUUCCCUUUCGAAAUGCCACGUGCUUAUUCUGAUGCAGUAUAGCAUGAUUAUUCUGUUGUCGCAAAGUUUGCUAACGUAUUUCUCCUAAGCCAGCAAGAGUUUUGCUGAUACGCUCAAAGCACUCGGUGUCAAAGCCGAAUGUAUCCUAUAUGAAGGAAAGACACACACAGAUUUGUUUCUUCAGGAUCCAAUGAGAGGUGGAAUAGACGAUAUGCUAGAUGAUCUGAUAACGAUGAUUCAUGGCGAUAACUCUGAAACCAUCAGAGCAAAUUCGACUCCGAGAAAACGCCUUGUACCUGAGUUCAUGUUGAAGAUGGCUAGAAGUGUUAGCCCCUUUUGAAUGAUCAUUCAAUAUAGUCCUUGUUUUUAGUCAGUUUAAAGUGGAACUUGCUAACAAAAGUAGCCAUAGAAAUAGGCCAUUCUUGGGAAGUAGAAGAAAAAUACUUCACUCAAUUAUUUUUAGGGAAAAGAGUCAAAAAUAUAUCUAAACUUUUUGGCGAAAUUUACUGUAACACGCCUCAACUUUUCGGGGUUCAUAUGACCCCUGGACUAUUUAUUACCAUAUUUUUAUGACAUAUAUUUGUCCAGUUGGACCAGUUCAGAUCCGUACACGCUCAAUGUGCGUGUAUUCACGCAGUGGUCCAGCUGGGCAAAUAUAUGUCGUAGAAAUACGAUAAUAAAUAAUCGAGGGGGUCGUAGGACCCUUGCAAAGUUGAGGCGUGUUACAACAAAUUUCGCCAAAGUUUAGAUAUAUUUAAAACCUUUUCCCAUUAUUUUUAUGGUAUUGUAAUGUAAUAUACAACUAAGUUUUUUUCUC